GGGGACAUAGCUCAGAAGUGGAGUGUUUGCCUAGGAGGUAUAAAGCUUUGGGUUCAAUUCCCAGAAUCUCCC
rnacentral:tRNA from 1 species